GACCUCGGAUCAGGUAGGGAUACCCGCUGAACUUAAGCAUAUCAAAAGCGGG
rnacentral:rRNA from 1 species